CGAUCACGAGAACAGCAUGAGGGUAACGGCCCUCAUGAUUCAAUUACCUCCCGCUGGGGCCCUCCCACGGCACAUGGACAUUACGGGAACUACAGUUCAAGAUGAGAUUUAGGUGGGGACACAGCCAAACCUAGCUGAAUCUCAGGAGGCAUACAGCAAACGAGGGGGAGCAGAACGCAUGAGCACAGGCACUGAUGCUGAGCUUUCAGCUUGCCGGACCCUCAAUCGAAAAUGUUCUACAGCUGGAAGGGAGUGUGGGUGGAUGGAUCCUCUGAGUCAGUUAAAUGGAGGUCAGCUGGAGAUGCCACUGCCAGGCAGAAGCUGCUAAUUCUCACCACAGAUAAUACUAUGAGUCAUGAAUGUGAUGACAUCAUGAAGCCUCCUGGACAGUGGCAAUCAUCAGCCCCCCAAGUGUGAGUGCCGGUGCCUUUCUUGGAGCUGAAAGCCUUCCAUGGCGGGCGUUUCAUGAAGACCACCCCACAGGUCCCCAGACACAGUUUGCGGGCCUCAUUUCGUCCUUCCCAAGGUUCCAGGAUUUUCCAAUGCCUAUUAAAUCUUCUGUAACAAUCCAUUCAAAUACACAAGUUUGGCUAUUCAAAUUACUUUUUCCAAAAGUACUUUAAAAUGCAUUAAGUUAUUAAUUGCCUGCUGGCACUUUAAUCAAAUGGGAAAAUUGACAUAGCCAGAGGCAUGUAUUUUUGUGGAAAGAAAAUUUAUUUAAGAAGAAACAGCAGCUCUUACUGCUUAAUUUAAACUGAGAAAACUGUGGAAAAUCAACUGCUAUGGAAAAUUAAUAAAACAUUUCCAGCUGCAAACAGUGACUAAUUGUACAAGAUGAAGACUGCCCGGAAUUAAUAACUUGCAGUCUUCUGUGUGAAGAACCCCCCACCACUUCAAUUUACUGGGAGAUUAAAUUACUUCUAAGUUUGCCAUAUUAAAACAGA
rnacentral:lncRNA from 1 species